GCGAGUCGAAUGUAGCAAUACAUGGCGUACUGCUCAGUAACACGUGGACAACCUACCCUCCGGACGGGUAUAAACCCGGGAAACUGGGUAUAAUCCCCGAUAGAUCUCGGUCGCUGGAAAGCCCCGAGAUCGAAAGCUCCGGCGCCAGAGGAUGGGUCUGCGGCCUAUCAGGUAGUAGUGGGUGUAGCGUACCUACUAGCCUACGACGGGUACGGGUUGUGAGAGCAAGAGCCCGGAGAUGGAUUCUGAGACACAAUCCAGGCCCUACGGGGUGCAGCAGGCGCGAAAACUUUACAAUGCCGGCAACGGCGAUAAGGGGACCUCGAGUGCCAGGUUACAAAUCUGGCUGUCGUGAUGCCUAAAAAGCAUUGCAUAGCAAGGGCCGGGCAAGACCGGUGCCAGCCGCCGCGGUAACACCGGCGGCUCGAGUGGUAACCGUUAUUAUUGGGUCUAAAGGGUCUGUAGCCGGCCAGAUAAGUCUCUUGAGAAAUCCAGCAGCUCAACUGUUGGGCUUUCAGGAGAUACUGUCUGGCUCGAGGCCGGGAGAGGUGAGAGGUACUUCAGGGGUAGGGGUGAAAUCUUGUAAUCCUUGAAGGACCACCAGUGGCGAAGGCGUCUCACCAGAACGGACCUGACGGCAAGGGACGAAAGCUAGGGGCACGAACCGGAUUAGAUACCCGGGUAGUCCUAGCCGUAAACGAUACUCGCUAGGUGUCGGCCACGGUGCGACCGUUGUCGGUGCCGUAGGGAAGCCGUGAAGCGAGCCACCUGGGAAGUACGGCCGCAAGGCUGAAACUUAAAGGAAUUGGCGGGGGAGCACCACAACGGGUGGAGC
rnacentral:rRNA from 1 species